rnacentral:rRNA from 1 species
UACGAAGGGGGCUAGCGUUGUUCGGAGUUACUGGGCGUAAAGGGCGCGUAGGCGGCAUGCCAAGUCGGGCGUGAAAUCCCUGGGCUCAACCCGGGAAUGGCGCACGAAACUGGCGAGCUAGAGGACGGGAGAGGAUGGUGGAAUUCCCAGUGUAGAGGUGAAAUUCGUAGAUAUUGGGAAGAACACCGGUGGCGAAGGCGGCCAUCUGGUCCGUUUCUGACGCUGAGGCGCGAAAGCGUGGGGAGCAAACAGG